rnacentral:rRNA from 1 species
UACGUAGGGGGCUAGCGUUGUCCGGAAUUAUUGGGCGUAAAGAGCGUGUAGGCGGUCCGGUAAGUCAGCUGUGAAAGUCAAGGGCUCAACCCUUGAAUGCCGGUUGAUACUGUCGGGCUAGAGUCCGGAAGAGGCGAGUGGAAUUCCCGGUGUAGCGGUGAAAUGCGCAGAUAUCGGGAGGAACACCAAUGGCGAAGGCAGCUCGCUGGGACGGUACUGACGCUGAGACGCGAAAGCGUGGGGAGCAAACAGG